GACGAACGCUAGCGGGAGGCUUAACACAUGCAAGUCGAGGGGUAUGGCAGCAAUGCCAGAGACCGGCGCACGGGUGAGUAACGCGUAUGCAACCUACCCUUUACAGGGGGAUAGCCCGUCGAAAGGCGGAUUAAUACCCCAUGGUACUAUUUUGCCGCAUGGCAGGAUGGUUAAAGUUCCAACGGUAAGGGAUGGGCAUGCGUGACAUUAGAUUGUUGGCGGGGUAACGGCCCACCAAGUCAGCGAUGUCUAGGGGUUCUGAGAGGAUGAUCCCCCACACUGGUACUGAGACACGGACCAGACUCCUACGGGAGGCAGCAGUGAGGAAUAUUGGUCAAUGGGCGCAAGCCUGAACCAGCCAUCCCGCGUGAAGGAUGAAUGCCCUAUGGGUUGUAAACUUCUUUUAUGUACCAAGAAUGGGCCCCACGUGUGGGGUUUUGACGGUAGUGCAUGAAUAAGCAUCGGCUAACUCCGUGCCAGCAGCCGCGGUAAUACGGAGGAUGCGAGCGUUAUCCGGAUUCAUUGGGUUUAAAGGGUGCGUAGGCGGUUUUUUAAGUCAGUGGUGAAAUCCUGCGGCUCAACCGUAGAACUGCCAUUGAUACUGAAAAACUUGAAUAUAGUUGAGGUAGGCGGAAUGAGUAGUGUAGCGGUGAAAUGCUUAGAUAUUACUCAGAACACCGAUUGCGAAGGCAGCUUGCUAAGCUAUAAUUGACGCUGAGGCACGAAAGCGUGGGGAUCAAACAGGAUUAGAUACCCUGGUAGUCCACGCCGUAAACGAUGUUCACUCGCUGUUUGCGAUAUACAGUAAGCGGCCAAGCGAAAGCAUUAAGUGAACCACCUGGGGAGUACGUCGGCAACGGUG
rnacentral:rRNA from 1 species